ACACUUGGAGGGUGCUUCAGAGAACAAGCUGUCCAUUAAACAUCUCUCAUUUCAGUCAUACCCCAAAAUACAUAGGUAAGUAGGAGGGUAUCACAUACAACGCUUUGAUAUUACACUCAUAAGUACAUGAGUGUUACUUCUGUUGCUGUGUGACUGCUGUAGAUGUGUUUGCUAAUUACAGAUCUCAGAGCACUCUGCCGGAUGCAGUAUAAUUGCAAAUGUGGCAAUCCAAAAUUAUAAAAGGAGGAAUUUGACUGAGCAAUAAAUGCUGUAGAUGUAUGUAUAUGUGAAGUUCAGCAUGACUACACGGGUCAUGAUUCAGCCACCUGUCAGAUCCUCCUACUGGUUAUAGUCAUACUAAUGAAAAGUCACAUCCUUUAGGCCACUAAUUGUUGCUGUAAGACAUUGCAAAUUAGUUUGUAGCUUGCUCUAAUAUUGGUUUUACAGUCAAAAUCAAAUCUGCCUUUCUACUGUUUAACUACAGUUGUAGCUAUUUAACUGUUAUGCCUCAUGUAGUAUUUUUAAUAGUUUGUAAAGUUUUAAGCUCACUUUAAGCAUCAUUUUUUUUAACAUCUCAUGAGAUAUACAUAGGCCCAACUUCCAUGAAAAUGCUCUCUCAAAGCACUUAAUGAGCCAAAUAGUAAGUGCUCAGUUUUCCAUUACUUCAUAGUUCUUAGGAGUUCAAGAAAAUGCCAGAUAUAGUCUGAAAACCAUUUACCAUUAAAAAAAAAAAAAAAGGAAGUUCUAAGGGAUAUGAUUACAGUAAGCCAAGUCUGGUUUGCAGUCCUACUCUAUGUGACUGCACAGGAGAUUUAAAGGUCAACUUCCCCUCCAGUCAGAUCAUUUCUGGACCCAGAGAGCAACGGGUAUAUUUGAGAUACAUCCUUCAGGUCCUGCUUCACUUCAGACAAUGGAUGGUUUCCCUUUUGAGCACAUAGAUAUAUAACAGAUCAGAAAAAAGCGAAACAGGAAACUAAGAAUUAUUAGAGAAAUCUAAUUAUACAAUAUUUUAUGUACAGUAUUAAAGGCAAAGUAAGGGUAAGCAUCCCAAACAAAUUCGUGGACUUAGUGUGUCUAAAAUGUCUAAAACUGGCCUUGAACUCAUAACUUUCCUCCCAGUCACCAACCAAUGAGCACUGUAUGAAUAGCCGGAAAAGACAUGGCGUUGGGGCUUCAACCAUGGGAAUUCACUUACACAUCCUUGGAGACUUUUUGAGAACAAUGACACUACUGAAAUGCAUUUCUGACCUCAGAAACUGAAUAUCAGGUUAAAAAGUUUGAAAAGCUUAUGGCUGCAUUAUGCAUCACACGAAAGCAGGAUUAGCUUAGAACACUAACAGAACUUUAACUGCACCCCCACUGCCAAGUACAGACCAACAUGUGCUUCCAGGAGCACCAGCAGGGACAAAAUCAGGAUUCUGAUCAGUUUGUGUCUGGUGGUUGAUUAUCUUCAGUGCCUAGACAGGAGAUUCCUUUAGUUGAAAGCAACCGGGCCCCUGUCCUGUGCUCCUGCUCAAGUUCCCUGGGUCACAUGGAAUGGCUUGUGCCUUCUUCACUAUUCUGGCAGCAGCAACAGGAGCUUAGCACCUCUCAGGGUGGAAUCUCUUCUUUGCUACUCUUCCAGAGACUGAGGUCUAGCAGUCAGGCCUUCUUGCCAACAGAAAUUAAGCCCAUCCUACAUUUCCACAAUUUGCUUUGGAAACAGUAACUUGUAUGAUCUCUGUUUGGAGCAACUCUUAAAAUGACGUUUCAUAAACCUUUUAUACUUCUUUAGUAACCAAUCUGUGAUGUGUAAUUAGAUGCCAGUUCCAAAAGAGAACAGUGCUGUCUCAUCUGAAGUGGUGGCUGGUGGUAAUGAAUAUAGAAUUAUGAAGAUAGGCGCAUAAAGGUUCUGCUUUACAAGAAGAAUAACCACCUGUUUUCUAUAAAUGCCAAUCUAAGAAGAUACCUACUCAGUAAGAUCACAACUGUUAAGUUUCGUUGCAUCAACACCUGACUAAUCAGACAAUAAUGCACUAAAAAGUAAACUAUCUACUUGCGAAUAGAUCACUAAUUUCUGAAAGAGAGAAAUUAUUCUCUUUUACAUAUAAGAUCUUUUCUUUGGCUGUAAUAUUCAUUCCAGACUGGAAGCAGUUUUGGUUGGGUUUUUUUUUCAGUAUCUUUUCAAGGGGAUUGUGCAGGUUCACUGAUGAAUGCUAACAUUACACAAUGUUUACCCAGUACUAAGCUUGAUGGAAACAUUAAUCAGAAAAUAUAUAGGUUUACAGAUUAUAAUGAAAGGUUUUGUAGCAACAGCAAGCCCUGGCAUUCCCUGAACAGAAGCUAGAGAUGUAUGUUUGCCAAGAGAAACAGCAAGAUGUGGCCAACAGUAGAAGGCUUUGAGAAAAUAGAAACACAAGAACUGUUUCCAGUCUAGGUCAUCUCUCGCCUCUCAGCACUCUCAGUUUACUUUUGAGCAGGUAUAUCCAGAAGCUGUACCCCAAUUACUCAUUGCAGUGAUCCAACAGGAAUCCAAGCACCCCUUUUAUAUUAUUUCUGUUAAUUUCAUUGGAAAGAGAGCGCAUAACACUUGGAAAGAUAUUUAGAGUUUUGCAAUGCUGUUUUGCUAUUGCCAGUGGUUUGAUCUAUCAUGCAAUAAUUGCCAACACAGUUCUGUGCAACUAAUUGCACUGAAUUAAUUGCUGGUGUAACUCCAUCUGGUAGGAGUUCGUGAAGUUCAACUUCUGAUGCCUCCGCCAGCCCUGUUUACUUUCCCUAUCACAGCAGCUGGGUCAUAGUUUAGCACUGUACCAACAAGUUGGUGGCACAUCGCAGCCAGCUCCUCCCAGCUCAGGCAGCUCUCAUUUAAGGCAGGACUCAACAUCCAGAGCCUUUGCCCACACAUACUUCCACUGCUACUGGCUCCUCAUAUGAAGUUUGUACCACAGCCACCUUUUGCCCAGUUUUCCUGCAUGGCUGGCUGCAGAUUUGCCAUCCUGUUCGGCCUCUCAGGCAGAUCUUCAGACUUCUCAGUUUCAGGCAGUGCUUAUCCUCUGUCACAUUAGCACACAUUUCACAGAAGAGUCCAGCAUGUCUUUUCAUACAAUUCAUACAGUCCACCACUUCCACAGGUAAAGCAGAGCCAGCAUCCUUCCAAAGGGCCAUCUUGUAAAUCUCACCUUGCAAGUAUAGCUGCUGCACCUCAGAGAACUGAGACAGUGAGCACAUUCACAACACAUUAGAGAAUUACUACAGCCACACUGCCACGUGUAUUGAAAUUACACGCAACUUUCCACAGGCACUGUACAUGAAAAGGAUAAUUCAUUUAUGUAGAGAAGUGAUUACUUUGCUGGAACAAGUCGUCCUGCCUAUAGUUCCACCCAGGCUAAAUUAAUACCACAGCUCCUACUACACUUAUGAGAGAGUAGGGCAGGAGAGUAGCACGUUAAAUACAGGGCAAUGCUUAAUGUAACCACAUGCAUGGUUUACAAGAGAAGUUGCCUAUCAUUUACUAAAGCCGUGAGUUGGGGUUUAUUAGGUAAAUGCCAGAGCUAUUGCAAAACUGCAAUGGCCUUGUUCUAAACAUUUUAAUUGCAUAGUUGUUAGCCAAAGCCCUUCUAAUACAUUGAUGGCCAUUUAGUGACAUAUACUACAUAUUAAUAGUAAAAAUGGAAAUAGCACUGAACAGAAUGGGUUGCACAUAGUCAUCAGGACUGAUUUUUCAAUACAGAAAUAUGAAAAUUACCCAGAUUCAGGUUUCAUUGGUGCCCAACUUUUGCUCUUUUUUUACCUUUUUUAGACUAAAAAAGUAUUCCCUAAAAUUUCAGUCAUUAGCUGCUGUCCUGUAAUUGUAUAGUCCAUAGUGAAGAAUGCCGUGGCUUACCUCACUUGUUGGCAGGGUCACUAAUAGCAGUCCUGGGCCCAGCUCCACUCUCUUCAUACACCAAAAUUCCCCAGAGAAAGACCCAGCCUACAUGUCUCACCCCAAGCAUAGUGUUUGUAAGCUUUACUGUACCUAAACCAAAACAAUUUAUUUUCAGGACCCUGGCAUUCUCUAAAAGUGAGAGCAUAAUAGCAACUAGAGAAAAAAAAAAAAAAGAGAGAGAAUUAAAAGCUGAGCACUGAAUGGCCUGAUUGUACUUCACUGUGUAAAAA